UCCUCUUUCCUCUUUCUUCUUCUUUCCUCCUCUCUUUUCUUUCUUUCCCCUGUUCUUCACGGCUGCUGAUUUUGAGAGAGAGAGAGAGAGAAAGAAAGAAAAUCGGUGUUUCUGAGAUCGUUAAAAGGUGGAAAGAUUAUGUAGUAGAUGUUGGUGAUAGCACUGUGGUUGUUUGAACCUGAGAAGAAGAAGAGAUGUCGAUCUGUGGAGAAAGCACGAAGUUAUGGUUUUGUUAUUGAUUUUGAGAUCAUGAGGAGAAUUGAUAGGUUUAGUAGAUGGAUGGAAGAUGGAGAUGAAAUGGGUAGAUGUUUAAUUGAAGUUAUGAAGUUAUUUCAGUGAAGAAUCAAAAGGUUAGGGUUUCUGCAAAAUGAACUGAGUUAGGGUUCUUGAGUUGAUUGGGGGAUUGUGUGAAAUUGAGGAUGUUAUCAGGCAAUUCAAGGAUGGGUUUGAUCUGAAUUAGGGAAUAAGGUUGUCGAAUAUCAUGGAAUCGAUAGUUAAUGUUUGAAGUUAUGAAUCUCAUGUUGAAUUGAAGCUGAUGAAGAACUCGGACUUGAUUCUCAUACUGAGAAGGUGAUGGAGUAUUACUGGUGUUGGUCUGGAUGUGGGAUCGAACUCAAGAAGAAUAUAAAAGGUAAUCUAAUUUAAGGUUUCUUAUAUUUGAUUCUGUUUAGGAAUUUUGAAGUGAUUGAUUAUAUUUCAGUAAUUGGAUGAAUGGGUUUGCUGUGUAGAUAUGAUGUUGCUGAUAUGAAGAUUUGCAGUACUGAAAAUGUUUAUGUCGUUAUUAGUCUGAACUGCAUGUGUUGGUGUUAAUUUGUGAGAUGGAUUUGAAAUCUCAGGGCUAAGAAGUAAUGUGAGUAUGUGUUUGGUUGGUGGUGUUAGUGUAUGACUUGUGGAUAUGAAGUUAAAUCGGAAUUAAGAAUUAGUUGAGUUGUAGUGGCUGAGUUAUGAAAAUUACAGGAUAUGACUGUUUGCUAAGAUGAUACGAUGAUAGGGUUCUGUUGAAGAAUUGGAGUUAGGAAAAGAGGCUGGUGCUGCUGUGGUGUAUGGAUAUAAGAUGAAGAUGAAGUUCAGUUUGAUCUAUAUGAAAUGAUGAAUGUUGAGGUAACUAUUUAGAUGGAUAUAACAUGUAGCUGGAGUUAUAAUUCGUAUUGUAUUGAGUUACAGAGAAUUGUCUUUUGUUGGAAUGUGCUUGAGUUACAGGUUGAAUGGUAGUAUUGUACUACAAGUGGUGUGGUUAUUGGAUUAAAUUCAUUAAGGAUGAAUCUCUGGAGAAGUAUGAAUGGAUGUGCAGGUGGUGGUUUUAUAUGAUGAAUGUAACUUUGUGUAUUGGUUGAAGUGAUAAUGAGAUUGUUGUUGGACUCAAAUUGUCUUAUAGUUGAUGAUGUGUGUGUAGAGUUGUUUGUAUUAGUGAUGUUGUGGAUGGAGUUGCAAGUUAUGAGAUUUGUAUUAUGUGUUUUCUAGUUGAGCAGAGUGAGAAUGACUGAAUGUUUGUAGAUGAAGUCAGACAACGUUGUUUGAGUUGAAUCUUAGAUGUAGAAAUUACAGGAAUUAUGAACUGGUAAGAUGUGUAAGCUGAAGAAGAGUGUAAUGUUGUUAUGGCAGUGAUCUUAGUAAAAGCCUGCAAUGCAAAUCAAGUUGGUCUAUAUUAACAACGAUCGAUUCAAAGGAUGAACCAGUGGAUCGUGGAUCUCGAGGUAGGCGUGGCUUGUCAUCAAAAGAGGUGCGGCACGAGUCACCAUAUAACUAUCUAGGAGCGGAACGAUCAAACGAGACACCAUGAUAUAUAUUGUUUGGAAGGAGUUGGUCCAUAUACAUGUUUGUGCAUUUCCAGUGAUUUAGUCACUUUGAUGUUUGGGAAAACAUGUAUUGUUUUCCAAAUCUUGCCCAUGAUUUCUUUAAAGGUAAAUGUUAUUCCUGCUGGGCACCCCUUCUAGGGAUGAUGUGCUCACCCUUUCCCACUUUCUAUUUCAGAGACAGAUCAGAGUUGCGCAGUGAAAGCUUCAAGGAGUUGACUCUGUUAAUUAGUUGACUUUUGCUAUGUUUAUUAUGUUGCAUAUUAUAUUUUUUAACCAAAUGACUAUUGUAUAUAUGUAUCAUUUGAGAUAAGUUCUUGUAUUUAUAUAUUUAUGAGCGGGGAUAGUUUUGUAUCAGAUCUCUUAAUUGAAUGCUUAGGUAUUUGAUUUGGUUUCUUGGUGACU